rnacentral:rRNA from 1 species
UACGUAGGGCGCAAGCGUUGUCCGGAAUUAUUGGGCGUAAAGAGCUCGUAGGCGGUCUGUUACGUCUGCUGUGAAAACCCAGGGCUUAACCCUGGGCUUGCAGUGGAUACGGGCUGACUAGAGGCAGGUAGGGGAGAAUGGAAUUCCCGGUGUAGCGGUGAAAUGCGCAGAUAUCGGGAGGAACACCGGUGGCGAAGGCGGUUCUCUGGGCCUGACCUGACGCUGAGGAGCGAAAGCGUGGGGAGCGAACAGG